UGUCGGAUUUCUGGGCGUAAGGGUGCGUAGGCGGAUGUUUAAGUGGGAUGUGAAAUCCCCGGGCUUAACCUGGGGGCUGCAUUCCAAACUGGAUAUCUAGAGUGCAGGAGAGGAAAGCGGAAUUCCUAGUGUAGCGGUGAAAUGCGUAGAGAUUAGGAAGAACACCAGUGGCGAAGGCGGCUUUCUGGACUGUAACUGACGCUGAGGCACGAAAGCGUGGGUAGCAAACAGGAUUAGAUACCCUGGUAGUCCACGCCGUAAACGAUGGAUACUAGGUGUAGGGGGUAUCAACUCCCCCUGUGCCGCAGUUAACACAAUAAGUAUCCCGCCUGGGGAGUACGGUCGCAAGAUUAAAACUCAAAGGAAUUGACGGGGGCCCGCACAAGCAGCGGAGCAUGUGGUUUAAUUCGAAGCAACGCGAAGAACCUUACCUGGACUUGACAUCCCUUGCAUAGCCUAGAGAUAGGUGAAGCCCUUCGGGGCAAGGAGACAGGUGGUGCAUGGUUGUCGUCAACUCGUGUCGUGAGAUGUUAGGGGUAAGUCCUGCA
rnacentral:rRNA from 1 species